rnacentral:lncRNA from 1 species
AUUCCCUGCAAGGCCAAAGGUGAGGGACAGAGCCAGGCAGCUAAAAAAAGUGAAUGCUGAUAGAAAUGAAAAGCUGAACCAAAGAAGGAGGCCAUUUGCAGAAGAAAACUACAACACCGAAAGUUUAAUUUGUUCUGCAGUGGCCUACAUAGAAGGCAAACUGCCACAGCAGAUUAGACGAGGGGUCCACUGGGGCUGCCGUGCCAGCACCGCCGCAGCUAUCUCUAAAAGCGCGAGAGAAAUGAUGCGUGUGACCUGGAGUGACAAACGGGAAGAGCACCUUGUGGUUCCCUGAGAAGCUUCACUGGGGAGAAGAGGAAGUGACUGCAGCUCCAGUUGAAUCUCUCACCCCUCCCAUAACUGAGAUGGACCAAGAGGACUCAAGGGUC